UACAAGUUGAAGAAGGAAUUUUUCGAUCCUUUUUCCACUACAUUUAGUUAUGAAAACUUCUCCAGUCCAUUCCAUGUCUGAUAAACAGUGGAUUGACCUUGUGGAAUCAUGGAAGACUCCAAAAAAAAUGGAGAUAUGUCAAACGAACAAAGACAACCGAGGCAAUGUUAUGUUACAUCAAACUA